AUGAUAGGAGAUAUUUAACGCAGUGGAAACUGUCUUCCUGCCUUCUGUUACUCUUUUUAAAACUGGAAAAUAUCUUUCAUUCUUCCUUUUUAUCUGAUCAAUAGUAAGAUAGAAAUGAACUGUUGUUUGGUUUUCUCUAGAGUGGAUUUAAUAUUAUUUAAGACUGUUUUUUAGAACUACUAAGAAACUUCAGCUAAAGACAGCAGCCCUACAUUAAGAUCAUCGUUUAGCAGUCUUUCAGGAGAUGUUGUCAGAAAACCUAUUUUAAACUGGCUUUAAGCACAAAGAAUUUAUAGUUUCUCACGACUGAAAAUUCCAGAGGCAGUUUCAGGCAUUCCAGGAUCAGAGCUUAAAGAGUGUGACCAAACUUGUGUUUGCUCUUUUAUGUUUUUCCUUUCUCUGCUUUUUAUGAUUUCAUCCUUGAGUUGCAUGAAGUGGGCCCAGCAGGUCUGGGUUCUCCCUUCACAGGGACAAGAGCACUAACCUCACAUUUACUCCUGUUCAAGUUUCAGACUUCUCUGGCCUUACAAUGUGUCAAGUUGGUUUAACUAAAAAAUGCUUCCCAGAAUUCCCUUCACUGGUUAGGAUUGGUCACAAAAGAAAUCUGUACCAAAUUCAGAAGGUAACAGUGAACAGUAGCCAUUUCUAUUCAUGGAAAAUAGACAUAGGCCAGGCCUUAUUGUAGCCCCUGACUCAACUUGUUGGUCAAGGGCAGCUGACUAAGCACCAGCUACAAUCUCCCUGGGUUCCCCUUCUUCCAAACCCUGUCCAGAUGUGAGUACCAUUCUUCAGUGAGACCACCACUCGUCCUUCAGACUAUUCAUAGCAGUGAGGGUGGAAUCAGAGAGAGACCAACAUGGCGGGCAGGCAGCUGACAAAAGUACUUUGUAGUUGUUCCCCAUAUCCUGAAAGUUCUUGUCUCCAUUUUUUUCCUUCAGCCUGACCUGACUUCAGACUCUUUACCAAAGAGUAGCAUGCAUAAAUGCAUAAAUGCUAUUAUCUGAUCUAAUCUGUAUAAUAAAUCCUCAUUGAAGUGGUUCUUGCUUCUAAGGUAACCUUGUCUAGGAGAGUAAGACAAUACUUUCUGAUAACCCUACAAAUGGAGUCAUUUUGAUUGGACAAUUUAGGCUUCAAGUUUAUCCCUCAGCCAGUCAUUGAAAGCUGUAAUAAGCAAUCCUUCUAUUGGAUGGGCCUGGAUCAUAAGCUAAUUUAUUGACACCCUACCAGGGUCUGAGAGCUCAAAGUCAUUAAACACUGGAUGAAAUCUGAAUAUGUUUCUGGAAAUAGGAAGAGGUGGAUACUGGGGAAGCCAACAGCAGUUUCCCCCUAAAAAUGGGACAUGAGAUUUACCUCAGAACUAUUUCCUAUACUAAGAAACCUUUUUAUCUUAAGUAUAAUUCAAGGAGUUAAGUCUUAUUCCUUUGUUUCAGACUGGGCAAUGGGCCUAUGUCUAGGUACUUCUGCACUAAAUCAAACACUAAGUAAAUGAAACUUCACAGGCAAUGUCUGCUCUCCACAUGCUAACUUAUAAAUUGCUGAUGUUAUGAUAGAACCAUCAAAAACAUCCUCGAGACUAUGGGUGCACCUGACCUAGGCUUACUAUCUAGCAGGGCCAGUAAGCCAGUGAAUGCACUCUACCAGCUUUCAGAAAGAACUAAUGGGGAGAGUCUGAGAGAAGGUUCUAGAAUGCCUUGAUUCAGAACAUUGUAAAGUUAGAAUCAGUGCCAUGACUUGGUGAGAAACACUAUGGCAAAUUUCUUUGAAAAUUUCCUGAAUGAAAUUAUGAAACUACGGCAAGGGCAGUUGUAUUUCCAUCUUUUUCAGCUGUCUGAUUUUUUACUAGAGACCCUGAUUUCCUUUCCUGAAUAAGUAAUAACCCUAAACACCACCCAGAGGGAAAGUGGAACUGUGUGGUAAGGAUGGAAGUAAAUUAGAUGAUUUUAAAACAUCAUCGAAAAAUAAGGCAAAUGAAAGGGAUAGAACACAUAAAGGUGCUGUUUGUUCUUUUUGUAAAUGCAUAUCAGCUUUGUUAACAUAAUUCACAUUUCAUAUGGUUAACCAUUUCUGCUCAGUUUUAAGAACCCAUAAUAUUUUUUUUCUUAAUAUGUAGUACCCAUUUAAUACUUUUAAAAUCAUCUUCAUAAUUUACCAUGCUUGGAGAAAUGCUCUUCAGGAGGGAAUAUCACAUUGCCAUGUUUUUCAAGGUGGAAUAGAAUGCUGUGAGUUGUGGGGAAACAACAGAUUAGUGAUAAUGGUUGUUGGUGAGAGGACUUGACAUUAUAUUUCUGAAGCUAUUUUCAUGAGUUUUCACUGAUAGUUUGGAAGUAAAAAAAAAAAAACAAAACAAAAAACAUCAACAACCCUCUUCUUGCAUUCUUAGAGAACCUUUGUAUUCCUUUCCAUUUUGCUAACUGAGAAGUUAUUCUUUGCUUAAGAAUAAGAGUUCAAGUUCGACUGUGAGAGUUACAGAUUCAGGACAGUUAAUUAAUCCAUUUGCCCUGGGUUCCUGCCUAGAGCAAGGCUUUUAAUCCAACUUUCAGGAAACUUCUGUUUUGACCAGUUAGUAAAUUCUGUGAUUAUUUACCAGAAAAUUGCAUUAGUUUGCCAGGGCUGCUGUAACAAAGUACCACAGAUUUGUUAACUCAAAAAAAACCCGGUUUUCUCACAACUUGACAGGCUAGAAGUAAGAACAAGGUUUUCACAGACUUGUUCCUUUUGAGGGCCACAAGGGAAGGAUUUGGUCCUGUCCUUUCUCCUUAGCCUAUGAAUAGUCAUCUUCUCCCUGUGUCUUUACAAGGCCACCCCUGCAGGCCUCUGUCAUGUCUUUUUAAUGAACACAAUUCAUCUUGGAUUAGGACUCACCCUAGUGAUCUCAUUUUGACUUAAUUACCUCUUAAAAGAUCCUACCUCUAAAUGUAUUCACAUUCUUAGGUACUGAGGGUUGGCACUUCAACAACUGAAAGGAUGACAUAAUUGAGUUCACAACAAAAAUGAUUUGGUCAAUCUUUAUAGUUUUUUAACUCACUGAAAUCAAUUACUUUGGUCAAAUGCAUUUUAGACAAUCAUUAAAUAAACCUUUACAUUUUUUUCUCCUUUUUCUAUCACCAAGAAGUUGUAGAUAUUUGCAAAAUGUGAGGAGGGGGAUGGACUCCAGAGCCCCAGGAUGAUCAUAAAUUCAGAGAGACAGACAGCCAAUCUUGAUAACUGAAACUCUGUCCAGACAUUGUUCUUUAACAUCAGGCAUGACUUACAAACUCUGCUUCUUAGAACUCUUAGACAACAACAUUGCUGUGGAUAACAUAUACUUUUAGAUAAUUUUCCAUGGGUGUUCUUUGAUGUCAUGAUAGGAUCUGGAUGCUGCAGAAAAAUAGUGCUCAUUUGACAGGUGAGGAAUUAUGAAGAUAGUUUAACAGACUGGGUGUUGGGGAUGGGGACUGCAAUAGGAAUCUAGAUCCUUUUGAGAUAUCUAUCUAUACUAGAAAUAAAGAUUUAGAUAAAGCUUUCUAAAAUAUUGGUGAGCACUGAGAUGCCCAAGAAGCAAAACAUGGAGCAAAACAAAACAAUGGAAGUUUUAGGUCACCCAGAAAGCCCUCUCAGCAAAGCUCCUGGGAGAAUGGUCUUAAGGCAAAUGGAGGGUAAGAAAGAAAGGACACACUGGACUCCUGAGGAGCCCAAGGAGAUCAUCCUGAAAUCUCCAACUGAGAACUGCAAUUUGAGAGAAAAGGUUAAAAAAUCUCCCCCAAUUGCUAUUUUUAACAGACUCCUUUCAGUGUAAUUAGGGUAAACAACAUUUCCCGGUUUGCCCAAGACUGAGGGGUUUCCUGUGACAUGGGAUUUUCAAUGCUAAAACCAGAAAAGUCCCAGACUAACCAAGACAGUUGGCCACUCUAAGUAUAAAACACUGAAAGUCACUGUAAAAAAUAAAAAGGACAACUGGGGGAAUAGCACCUUAAAUCAUAAUCAGGUACUUUGUAACCUCACUCAAUACCCACCAUAGUAACCCUACAGGAGGGAAGGAUAUAGGUUAUUUUUAUGUGUGAAGGGAAUCAAAAAGAGUACCCUGAAUGGGCAUUACUUAAAGUAAACACAGGGAACAAAAUUUGAUAGGGAGGAAUACUGAGAGUAAGCCUUGAUUAGAAAAUUCUGACUGAGGAUCAGACCCAAUACAGCUUUUGCCUAAUGUAGAUAAUCCUUGCAAAGACAUCUGUGUGUUUUUUACCCAAUUACCAUCUUAUCUGACUACAGAACACUGAAUUAACUUAAUUUAGUAAUAUAUAUAUAUAUAUAUAUAUAUAUAUGUGUGUGUGUGUGUGUGUGUGUGUGUGUGUGUGUGUGUGUGUAUACACAAUCUGUCACUUUACAUAAACAUUCCAGUCAGGUUAUAGAGAGGGUGUUUGUCAAAGUGUUAUUUUGGCUUAUGAAAACCAGUACUAGUAAU
rnacentral:lncRNA from 1 species